CCUGGUUAAGUAUCAUCAUUAUUGGACCAAAACUAUGGCAUCUAGUGUGUUUAUACGGUUUUUGUAAGAUUAGACCCCAUGACCAAGAUUUUGUCCCCACAUUACCAAACGUCAAACUUUACCUAGAUAUUGUCCAGACAAACAUUAUGGUCAAGUUUCAUCAUUACUGAACCAAAACUCUGGCGUAUGAAGUGUUUAUGUGGUUUUUGUAAGAUUUGACCUGGUGACCUAUAUUUUGACCCAUCAUGACCAAACAUCAAACUUUAAUUACAAAAAUAAAUAUAAUGAACAAGAUUCAUAAAAUCUUAAACAAAAUUGAUCUCUAGCAGUGUGGCCAUACCACGUGGUUUGUGACGUCAUUUUGGCUAGCACGCUAAGUAGAAAUUUGUCAACAUUGGCCCCGCUUAGAAAUUUCAAAUCCACGCACUUCUUCUAUACAACCUCGAAAAAGAAUGUGUACAAACUCGUUGGUCAAUAUAACGUCGAUGGCAAAGGUGAAGAUGAACCAAACAUCAAGAGCUAUUCCGAUAUUCGUGACCACGAGUUUGACAACCCGGGGAGACUGCGCGUGAAACCGAAGGCAAAAGAGGCCAAAAUGGACUCGAGUCGAAAUGCCGUUGCCAGGGAAACUUUAGGUGUACGGUGGGACUGUGCGAGGAGAAACGAAAGCAAGUUAUUGCCUACGUACAGACUUGGACUAGACAUAGAAGAAAUUUGAUAAGAAACCGCCUUUCUGAAGAAUUCCGUGUUUUAGUAGCUUGACUUGAGCGAGAUAUAAAUAAUUAUUCAUGUG